rnacentral:rRNA from 1 species
AAUGGGCGAAAGCCUGACGGAGCAACGCCGCGUGAGGGAGGAAGGCCUGUGGGUUGUAAACCUCUUUUCUCAGGGAAGAAGUUCUGACGGUACCUGAGGAAUCAGCAUCGGCUAACUCCGUGCCAGCAGCCGCGGUAAGACGGAGGAUGCAAGCGUUAUCCGGAAUUAUUGGGCGUAAAGCGUCCGUAGGCGGUUCAGAAAGUCUGCUGUUAAAGCUCACAGCUCAACUGUGAAUCGGCAGUGGAAACUUCUGGACUAGAGAGUGGUAGGGGUAGAGGGAAUUCCUAGUGUAGCGGUGAAAUGCGUAGAUAUUAGGAAGAACACCAGUGGCGAAGGCGCUCUACUGGGCCAUUACUGACGCUGAUGGACGAAAGCUAGGGGAGCGAAAGGGAUUAGAUACCCC